rnacentral:rRNA from 1 species
AGCUCCAGUAGCGUAUAUUAAAGUUGCUGCAGUUAAAAAGCUCGUAGUUGGAUUUCUGGUUGAAUGCGCCUGGCCCGCCUCGAUUCGAGUGUGAGUGCUGGUGUGCGUUUGCCAUCCUUCUAGAAAACGUUUCCUCCUUCAUUGGCUGGAUUCGCAAUCUAGAUCAUUUACUUUGAAAAAAUUAGAGUGUUUAAAGCAGGCUUGUGCUAUGAAUACAUUAGCAUGGAAUAAUAAUUUAGGACUUCGGUUCUAUUUUGUUGGUUUCUAGUACUGAAGUAAUGAUUGAUAGGGAGCGUUGGGGGUGCUAGUAUUCAGCGGCCAGAGGUGAAAUUCUUGGAUUCGCUGAAGACUAACUUAUGCGAAAGCAUUCACCAAGGAGCUCUUCUUUAAUCAAGAACGA